CAUACAAAGGUGAUUAAAAGGUCGUUUCUAUGCAAAAAUAACAUGUAUUAUUCCAUCCGGCUUGUCAUACAACACAUCAGCGCGAGACGAAUCCUUAAAACUAGUUGAAUACGUAUAAAUAAUCCUGUGUUCGUGUGUGUGUGUGUAUGUAUGUGUAGAGAUGGCAGGGGUAGGUUGUGCGUGUGCGUGGGGGGGAGGGGAGGGAUGGGGGGGAGGCCGUGUGUAAGUGUGUGUGUUUGGGUAUAUAUGUAUGCUAAUUGUUUCCUGUCUGCCUGUUUCUAUCUUUCCCUGUAUGUCUGUAUGUUUGUGUGUUUGGCUGUAUGUAUGUAUGUGUAUAUGUGUCUUCUGUCUCCCUGUACGCAUUUCUCUGUAGGUGUCUCCUUUUGCCUGUUCGUAUAUAUGUAUGUAUAUAUGUAUUUAUUUACGUAUAUAAGUAUGGAAGAAUCGCGUAUAAGUCAUCCCAGUGGUUUAUCAUGACGCACGGGGCGAAGGGAGAGGGACAGGUAAUUUACAGGUGAGUUCACAGGUAAUCAGUGAAAGGUAGAUGAUUAAUUAGAGGCGUGACAGGUAAAGGUAAUGGGCGAUUGGAGAUGAAGGGACAGGCGGGUGUGACCAUGAAUAUUAAGUAGACGCAGAACAAUUAUUAGACCUGGUAGUUAGGGAAAUAUAGCGCAGGUAAUUAUGAGAGGUAAAAUAUUAAUUAGAGGCGUGACAGGUAAAGGGAAUGGCCGAUUGGAGAUGGAGAGGUGGAUAUGACCAUGAAUAAAAAGUAGAUGCGGAUACAUUAUUAGGACAAGUAGUUGGGGUAGUGUACCUCAGGUAAUUAUGAAACGUAGACUAUUAAUUAGAGGCGUGACCGGGAAAGGUAAUGGCCGAUUGAAGAUUAAAGUAACAGGCGAAUAUGACUAUGAAUGUCAGUAGAUGCCGAUACAUUUUUAGGGCAGGUACCUAUGGGAAUGUAGCUCAGGUAAUUAUGAAAGGUAAAUGAUUAAUUAGAGGGAUGUCAGGUGAAGGUAAUGGCCGAUUGAAGAUAAAUGUGACAGGUGAGCAAGUACGAGAAAGUGGAGAUAUGGUCCUUGUAGCGCGAGGGGGAGAGGUAAUGAUAUGUAGUAGAAAAGAAUAGUUAAAAGUUUUGUCAUGAAUUAGGGGAACAGUAAGCAAUUCAAGAGGUUAGCGGCCAAGAUAGGUACGAGAAAGUGGAGACAGUCCUUGGAGAACGAGGGAGGAGAGGUAAUGAUAUGUAGAAAAGAAGAAUAGUUUGAGGUUUUAUCAUGAAUUAGGGAAACGUAAGCAAUUCAAGAGUUUAGCGGCCAAGAUGGGUACGUGAAAGUAGAGACAGUCCUUGGAGCGCGAGGGGGGAGAGAAUAUGUAGAAGGGAAGAGGUAGAAGUUUUAUUAUGAAUUAGGGGAACAGUAAGCAAUUCAAGAGGUUAGCAAGCAAGAUGGAGUACGAGGAAGUGGAGACAGGCCUUGGAGCACGAGGGAAAUGUAUAAAUGGAUGGAUGAAGUUUAAAUGUAUAAGUAGAAAACGUGAUUGAGAAAAAAUAAAACAGAAGAAUAAUUAGAAGUAUUAUAAUGGACGAGGGGAAGAGGAAGCAAUUCAAGGGGUCAGCAAGCAAGAUGUAGUACGAGAAAGAGGAGAUGUAUUCCUUGGAGCACGAGGGGGGUACAGGUAAUGAUAUGUGCAGCAGGUAAUCUCCAUGUUGAUGAGCGGUUAAUGAGACAAAGGUAGGUAACACCCGGGUGAUGAGCAGGUAAUUAGACACAUUAGUGGAGGGAGGAGAUGCAGGUACCUAAAUACGUGUUAUUAAGGUGGGAAAAAAAAGUGUUAGUAGACUGACAAGUGAUGGAAUAUGUUAUAAGCAUAGACCGACCAGGGAAGAUAAAUGACUUAGGCCGUGGCCACACAGAAAGCGAGAAAGCUAGCGAGAGCGGCAAGGCGAGUUUCUGUUGUCACACGAAAAGCGAGGCGAGGCAAGGGUUGUCAUGGCAACGAGGCCCGCAGACUAGUGUAGCAGUAUAGCCGGCGCGUCGGCGCAAACGAGGGAUGAGGUGAAAUGUUUUAUAAAUAGCUCCGUGCUUCGCUUAUUUUUCGUUUUAUGAAAAAUCUGUAUACACCAUCGUGUUCAGGAGGCUUUUCACUAUAAGAUGGAAUUGUUUAUUUUAGUACUCAUUUCAUAGCCGCUGCAAAUGGUAGCUAUAUGUAAAAUGUGUUAUAAACAUUACGGAGUGAUUAUUGAACUUCAACUCAUCACUAUUUAUUUAGUUCCUGUUUUAUUGUGUUUUCACAAACAUAUUCGAGUUUUGCAUUCACUGCUGCGUUUAACGGUGUUAACCAAAAUGUCCUAUCUUGUGUAUGAGUUGAGUUACGGCAAAUAAUAUAGAAGCAUGUCUGUGAUGUCACUCCUCACUGAACAAUCUCGCACGAGAAAAGUUAAUUGUCAACUCUUCUCGCUUUCUCGCCUACCAGCUCGCUUUCUUGCGUACCAGCUCGCUUUCUCGCCAUUACCUGCUCGCUGCCAAUGUGGCCACCUCCGUUGCUUAUAAUGUAUUAAAGUUUCUCGCUAUCGCUCGCUUUCUCGCUCCUUGUGUGGCCGCGGCCUUAGAUUGGUUAUUACGUGAUAUAUAGAUAAAAAGGUAAAGAAACUAAUAAAUAAAGGCAGAUAGAUAAGCAGUUAGAUUAAUAAGUUAUAUAGGAAAUAAAAAGAAAGGUUAAAAUUGAGGUUGAGAUGAAAAAGUAAAGGCUAAUAGACAAAGGCUGAGAGAGGAAAAAAUAUACAUAAUAGAAGAUAGGUAAACAGUUAGAUUCAUUAAUGCAUGAUAUAGAAAGUAAGAAGAAAGAGAUAGAUUGACCGAUAAUAAUGUAGAGAACAGACAUAGACUAAGACACUGAUUAAGAGACAAAACUUAGAAGGAAGAUGUAUGAGUGCAUGGAGUAAGCCAAAGAGUAAAUAUAUAUUCUCUAGUGAACAAGAAGGAAAGAGGAAAGUUUGAGGAAGGAAAAAGAGAUGAAUAUAAUCGAGGUUUGUUUAUCAGCAUGUAUGUGUAUAAUUUUUAAAAGUUAGAGCGGACGAUCAAUAGAUAAAUAGAUAGAUAAAUAUGCAUUCUCAAAUGAACACGAAGGAAAUAGGAAAGUUAGAGGAAGGAAAAAGAGAUGAAUAAAAUCGAGGUAUAUUAAGCAACAUGUAGGUAUGUGAAUAUUUUUUAAAAGUUAGAGCGAUUGAUCAAUAGAUAAAUAGAUAGAUAAAUAUGUGUUCUCAAAUGGACAAAAAGGAAAUAGAAAAGUUACUAGGAAAAGCAAAAAAAAACAAAAACAAUAUUGGAGGUACAUUUGGUAACAAGUGUGUAAUAUUCAAGAGAUAUGGCAUAAGAUAUAGAUAGAUAAAUAGAUAGAUUAGUAAAUAUUCUCAAAUGGACAAAAAAGAAAUGGGGAAGUUAGGAAAAGGGAAAAAAAAAAUACAGAUAAAUCUUUUAAAACUAACACGCACUCAUUUUGUUCGUAAUCGCUUUCUCAACACACAAAAAUAAGAAGGAAAAAGAGAGAAAUAAACCUCAAAGCAGUAAUUACAUCGAAGGAGAUUUACUGUUUUGAUUCCUUUAUGUUUUAUCCUUUAUUUAUUUAACCUGAUUCCUUCUUUUUUUAUUAGUAUUUAUAUUUAGUUUCGUUUGAAGAUUGUAAUUUCCUUGUUUUGUAUUUGAAUUUUCACCUCGGAAGUGUGUGUGUGUGUGUGUGUGUGUGUGUGUGUGUGUGUGUGUGUGUGUGUGUGUGUGUGUGUUUUCUUUCUCAUUUUUCCUUUCUUUUUAUUUUUUAUUUCUCUUUUCUUUCUAUUAAUUUUUCUUUCUUUCCUUCCUGUUUUCCUUUCUUCAUUUUUUUGGUCUUUUCUCUUCGGUGUGUGUGUGUGUGUGUGUGUGUGUGUGUGUGUGUGUGUGUGUGUGUGUGUGUGUGUGUGUGUGUGUUUCAGUAUUCAGUCCACACACACACACUUCCUCCUCCUCCUCCUCUUGGUCCCUUCCUCUUCUUAUAUUCAUGUCCUCCUCUCUUUUUUCCUCUUCUUCUUCUUUUCUCUCUUUUUUAUUUUGUUAGUCUCAUGCUAUUUUUCUUUUUCUUCUUUUAUUUUUUUCUUUCUUUUCUGUAAUCAUUUUUUCUCCUUUACCUCCUUCUUCCUUUUCUCUCCGGUUUUUCUUCUCCUUUUACUCUCCUUCAUUCUUCUUCCCUUCGUUUCUUCUUUCUUGUCUUUCCUUCACUUCUCGUAUCUACCUUCCUUCCUUUCUUCCUUCCUUCCUUCCUUCCAUCGAUUCAUCUUAAUAUUACCUUUGCAAGUUCCUCCCUUCCAAGUUUUCCUUUCUCCUUCAUACCCUCCCUCUGUCCCUUCCUUCCUCCCUCUACUUUCCUCCCUCUCCUUUCCUCUUUCACCUUCCCUCCCUCCGUCUCUCUCUCCCUUCCUCCCUUCCCCACUCCUUACCAUCCUCCCUUCUCCUCCUCCCUUUUUCGAUACCCUACACCCCUGUCCACCCAGCAGUGAAUGGGUACCAGGUAUUAAUCGGGGGUUGUGUCCCGUCUCCUGGGAUCUGUUCCCUUCUCCUGUAAUUCCUUCCCCUCCUGUCUCUCUCCGGCAUAUGACCACAGAUGUUGCGCCAACUAAACGAAACUUUCCAACUUUUCCUUCCUUCCUUCCUUUCCUCCAUCUUCCGUUUCCUUUGUGAUCUAGAGUUGCGGGUUAACUAGAACACAGUCAAUGGUGGAGUACUUUAAGAUAGGCGCCAACCGGGAAGUUGGAAACCGCUUGUGCCGUGGGUGAAGUUGGUACGAGGGAACUUGAGGCGCGGGAUGGAGAGGUAUUUAAUUAGUUAGUUAGGUAGGUAGGUAGGUUGGUUGGUUAAUAGAUGGAAGGAUAGAUGGAUGGAUUGAUAGAUAAAUUGAUGGAUUGAAUGUUAGGGUGUUUUUUUAGGUGUUUAUUUUUUUUCUUCCUCCUCAGUUUUUUUUUCUGUUUUCUUUCUCUUUUUUUUUAGGUCUAUUUUUUUUCUUCUUGUUCUUGUUUUUUUGUUCUUGUUCUUGUUUUUUUGUUCUUGUUCUCGUUUUUGAUCUUUUAGUCUUUUUUUUUGUUCUUCUUCUUCUUAGAUAGUUUGAAAAUCAUUUUGAUUUUGAUAAAUGUUUGAUUACAGCAGAACACACACACACACACACACACACACACACACACACACACACACACACACACACACACACACACACACACACAUACACACACACACAUACACACACACACA